GCUGGCCCCCAACCGCCAGAGCAAUGAUUUAAAUGACAAAAAACAAAAAAUCAAUUGAGCAAAGGACCUAAGCAGCAGCGGGGGAAUCUUCUAGGGGAUUUAUAAUUUUAUUCUUUUUAAUCCUCCUCGCAUUUCCCAAGAGCACCAAGAAGCAGCACAUUGCAUGUGUUAGUCCUUCACUUGUGAACGGAAACUGUUUCUUGCUUUCAAAGAAACCCGAGUAGCCAGGCAAACGAAGGGGCAGCAGGAAAAUAUGUGAAUAACGUUGUGUUGCUUCACUUCCAGGCUGAAAACUCCUUGGCAUCUGCGACAGGAGGGCCUCCGAUCUGCCUUUUUGGACAUGUAUCCGCGCAGCUCUGAGGAGGAAGUAGGAACGAUCAAAUAUCAGUAUGUAUUACACAACAGAAACGGAAGUGAUCUGCAAUGCUUGUUUGUCUAGAGGAGUUCUUGCUGGAGGUUGCAAAAGGCUCGGAAAGGAUUCAAAUCGAAACCACAGUUAUGCUUCCAGAGGUUGGAGGGUACAUUUUCAGAGCUGGUGCCAGAUCCACUGGAAUGUGAAGUCCGCAGCUUAUCCGUGGAACAGCUACACUGCAAACGUUGUCAUGUUGUCUCCACAACGCUCUGCAGCUCUGCUGUGCAGGGACAGUUUCCAGAGAGUUGUCUAACUUCCAAGAUGGCUAGAAACAAUGCUGGCUCUGAUGAUCAUUGUGAACUGUGGACACCUGUAUGUCAGUAGCUCUGCGGAGAUCCACCAUACCUAUGCAGGGCAGACCCCAGACCACACCCAGGCAAGGAGUGUGCGUUUGUUUACUUAUUUUAAGAACGAAAAUGCUUUUGCACCAUGAUGGAUCCCACUGGUGCUUAACAAGUCACAAAACACCACAGUAUAGGCUGCUGCCCGCAUUCGAGCUCGUAACAAUGACAUUGAACCAACAGAGCAAUUUGCUAAAGACAUGGUGGAUUUGCCAUCACUUGAAGCCUGUAGAACAAGAUGUGCUUUCUCUCUAAAAGAGAGGCUCUGUCUCUGCCGGGUGUCGGAUAGGGGUGACAAUAUGACGUUCUCCAGUCGGUAUCAGGAGGCUGGACCAGAUUAUCCUAUUGGUCACUUCUGGCCUUGAUAUUUAUGAGGUAAAAAGUUCCAUAAUCCCAUUGUUUGCGCCCUCUGGCCCAUUCCCUUCCUCUUUGACUUGCUCUGAAAACUCUCAAUGUAGUGCUGCUGCUUGUACAUGGGGCCACCAGGUCGGUUCCUCCAUCAGUCUGUACCAUUGUUAAUGCUUCCUAGGUGUGAAAGUCUCCUCUUGUUUCCUGUCAUGACCUUCUCACAAGAGGUGGAUCCCUCAGGCCUUAGGUGCUAUGGCUCAUGAUUGUAUAAGAUGUUUACCUCUGUUAUAAUUGCACAGGGUAUGGCAUAGCUCAGGCCUCAAUGAUGCUUCCUUUCAAUCUCUGCUGCUUUCAUGUACAGGCAUGGGUGUGGGAAUUAUUCAGGAGGACUCAAGUCAUGGCUUGAUGUGCCUGGUCUCUGGGCAGAGCUGCUGUGUCUCAGAGCAAAGUUUCUUUGCCUCAGGUUCUGCUUGCCAGUGUCAGUUCAUUAGACCAUCCAAAGCGUACCCUGUUCUCUUUGCUCUUACUCUAUGUAUCCAUAUCCCCACUGAGCUGUGUUCUGGCUAGAGCUGGCUGGAACAGGCUCAGGAUGGGGUAGUUGGUUGGUUUGGAUGAAAAAUGGCUUUUUUGGACCGAAAAACAAACUCGCAGAGACAUUGUUUGUUUGGGUCAAAACUUUUCCACUUUCCAUUGGGAGGCAGAGUGGAGAAAUGGAAGCUUCACAAUGUUUCAGUCAACUUUCAAGGGUAGGUUUUUUUCUGUGCGCUUUUUCAAACCCCCAAAUCUUUAUCCAAGGUAGAAAUUCUCACUUUUGCUUUUCACCAGUCAAUCAAUUAAUACACCUUUUCCAGUCUACGCACAAUAAUUGGCAUUUUUUGGAUCAGGUCUUUUUCCAGCUUUGUGACCACAGUUGUACUUUACUUAGACUACAUCUACACUACAUGAUUAUUUCAGAAUAAAUUAUUCCGGAAGAAA